UUGGAGGGCAAGUCUGGUGCCAGCAGCCGCGGUAAUUCCAGCUCCAAUAGCGUAUAUUAAAGUUGUUGCAGUUAAAAAGCUCGUAGUUGAAUUUCGAGAUCAAAUUGUUGGUCGUGCCUCGGUACGUACUGGCAUUAUUGAUUUCUCCCUUCUGAAGAACCGCGAUGUCAUUAAUUUGGUGUCGUGGGGAAUCAGGACUGUUACUUUGAAAAAAUUAGAGUGUUUAAAGCAGGCUCACGCUUGAAUACAUUAGCAUGGAAUAAUGAAAUAGGACGUUUGAUUCUAUUUUGUUGGUUUCUAGGAUCGACGUAAUGAUUAAUAGGGAUAGUUGGGGGCAUUAGUAUUCAAUUGUCAGAGGUGAAAUUCUUGGAUUUAUUGAAGACUAACUACUGCGAAAGCAUUUGCCAAGGAUGUUUUCAUUAAUCAAGAACGAAAGUUAGGGGAUCGAAGACGAUCAGAUACCGUCGUAGUCUUAACCAUAAACUAUGCCGACUAGGGAUCGGAUGAUGUUAAUUUUUUAAUGACUCAUUCGGCGCCUUACGGGAAAC
rnacentral:rRNA from 1 species